UGAGUAACACGUAUGCAACCUGCCUGCCACAGCCGGAUAAUCGGGAGAAAUUCCGUCUAAUACGGCAUAAUGCAUCGACGGGACAUCCUGUUGGUGCCAAAGGUUGAUUCCGGUGGCGGAUGGGCAUGCGUCGCAUUAGUUAGUUGGCGGUGUAACGGACCACCAAGACGACGAUGCGUAGGGGUUCUGAGAGGAAGGUCCCCCACAUUGGAACUGAGACACGGUCCAAACUCCUACGGAAGGCAGCAG
rnacentral:rRNA from 1 species